CAGCAGCCGCGGUAAUACGUAGGUGGCAAGCGUUAUCCGGAAUCAUUGGGUUUAAAGGGUCCGUAGGCGGUUUAGUAAGUCAGUGGUGAAAGCCCAUCGCUCAACGGUGGAACGGCCAUUGAUACUGCUGAACUUGAAUUAUUAGGAAGUAACUAGAAUAUGUAGUGUAGCGGUGAAAUGCUUAGAGAUUACAUGGAAUACCAAUUGCGAAGGCAGGUUACUACUAAUUGAUUGACGCUGAUGGACGAAAGCGUGGGGAGCGAACAGGAUUAGAUACCCCGGUAGUCCCUGUCUCUUAUAC
rnacentral:rRNA from 1 species